UGGGGAAUAUUGGACAAUGGGCGAAAGCCUGAUCCAGCCAUGCCGCGUGUGUGAAGAAGGUCUUCGGAUUGUAAAGCACUUUAAGUUGGGAGGAAGGGCAGUAAGCGAAUACCUUGCUGUUUUGACGUUACCGACAGAAUAAGCACCGGCUAACUCUGUGCCAGCAGCCGCGGUAAUACAGAGGGUGCAAGCGUUAAUCGGAAUUACUGGGCGUAAAGCGCGCGUAGGUGGUUCGUUAAGUUGAAUGUGAAAGCCCCGGGCUCAACCAGGGAACGGCAUCCAAAACUGGCGAGCUAGAGUAGGGAAGAGGGUGGUGGAAUUUCCUGUGUAGCGGAGAAAUGCGUAGAUAUAGGAAGGAACACCAGUGGCGAAGGCGGCCACCUGGGCUCAUACUGACACUGAGGUGCGAAAGAGUGGGGAGCAAACAGG
rnacentral:rRNA from 1 species